CAGUCGCCGCGGGAAUACGUAGGUGGCAAGCGUUGUCCGGAAUUAUUGGGCGUAAAGGGCUCGCAGGCGGUUUCUUAAGUCUGAUGUGAAAGCCCCCGGCUCAACCGGGGAGGGUCAUUGGAAACUGGGAAACUUGAGUGCAGAAGAGGAGAGUGGAAUUCCACGUGUAGCGGUGAAAUGCGUAGAGAUGUGGAGGAACACCAGUGGCGAAGGCGACUCCCUGGUCUGUAACUGACGCUGAGGAGCGAAAGCGUGGGGAGCGAACAGGAUUAGAUACCCCUGUAGUCCCUGUCUCUUAUAC
rnacentral:rRNA from 1 species